GGAGUUAGCCGGUGCUUCUUCUGCGAGUAACGUCACAGAUGUAAGGUAUUAACUUACACCCUUUCCUCCUCGCUGAAAGUGCUUUACAACCCGAAGGCCUUCUUCACACACGCGGCAUGGCUGCAUCAGGGUUUCCCCCAUUGUGCAAUAUUCCCCACUGCUGCCUCCCGUAGGAGUCUGGGCCGUGUCUCAGUCCCAGUGUGGCUGAUCAUCCUCUCAGACCAGCUAGGGAUCGUCGCCUAGGUGAGCCUUUACCUCACCUACUAGCUAAUCCCACCUGGGCUUAUCCAUCAGCGCAAGGCCCGAAGGUCCCCUGCUUUCCCCCGUAGGGCGUAUGCGGUAUUAGCAGUCGUUUCCAACUGUUAUCCCCCACAAAUGGGCAAAUUCCCAGGCAUUACUCACCCGUCCGCCGCUCGUCAUCUUCAAAAGCAAGCUUUUGAAAUGUUACCGCUCGACUUGCAUGUGUUAGGCCUGCCGCCAGCGUCAUCUGAGCAUGAUACAACUACUGA
rnacentral:rRNA from 1 species